GGAGAAGGAGGGGGGGAGAUGGGGCUGGGCGGGGGGAGGCUGCGCAGCCCUCCCCGAAUUGCGCCAGAGCUGCGCCCGGGGGAAGGUUCCCGUGCAGUGUUCGAGGCCGGGGCACGCUGUUUGCCAGCCGCGUGUGAGAGCUGGGCGCUGCCGUCGCGCCCACCACCGUGAAACUGACCAGACAUCCUGGGCAGACCUUGAGGGGGUCAGCUGGAGGGCAGAGCCUCGUCAGACUGGACUGAUAUGCAGAAACAUAGGGUUAUGCAGAAGCCUGGCUGAGGAACCUAGCUGGGUCUGGACUUGAAGGAUAGGAAGAAGAUGGGAGCGAGUGGGCUGAGCUGGCCCAGUCCAGGUCCUGUCCGAAAAUCUGUGGGAAAUCCACCAGAACGAAACAACAGAGUGAUCAGUGUGACCACCAUGAAGGAAACAUCUCUAAAAGAAAGGAGGAGAAAGAAAG